UUUCCGCAGGUGAACCUGCGGAAGGAUCAUUAAAGUUAUAGUCCCCCGGCCCUCUGGGCUGGGGUCUUCUAUACCACCCUUUGUUUAUACACCUUUGUUGCUUUGGCAGGCCUGCCCUCGGGCUGCUGGCUCCGGCCGGCUCGCGUCUGCCAGAGGACCUAAACUCUGUUUGUAUAUGAAGUCUGAGUACUAUAUAAUAGUUAAAACUUUCAACAACGGAUCUCUUGGUUCUG
rnacentral:misc_RNA from 1 species